rnacentral:rRNA from 1 species
GGGGGAUAUUGGACAAUGGGGGAAACCCUGAUCCAGCGACGCCGCGUGAGUGAAGAAGUAUUUCGGUAUGUAAAGCUCUGUCAGCAGGGAAGAAAGAAAUGACGGUACCUGACCAAGAAGCCCCGGCUAACUAC